AGGAUUAUAUUUAAUUAUAAUAAUUGGUUUGCAUCCAAUAGGUACUGUCAAGUUAAUCUUA
rnacentral:tRNA from 1 species